rnacentral:rRNA from 1 species
CAGCCGCCGCGGUAAUACGUAGGUGGCAAGCGUUGUCCGGAAUUAUUGGGCGUAAAGCGCGCGCAGGCGGCCUAUCCAGUCUGUCUUAAAAGUUCGGGGCUCAACCCCGUGAUGGGAUGGAAACUAGUAGGCUAGAGUAUCGGAGAGGAAAGCGGAAUUCCUAGUGUAGCGGUGAAAUGCGUAGAUAUUAGGAAGAACACCAGUGGCGAAGGCGGCUUUCUGGACGAAAACUGACGCUGAGGCGCGAAAGCCAGGGGAGCGAACGGGAUUAGAUACCCCCGUAGUCCCUGUCUCUUAUACA